GGAUUGCGGAGCUGAUUAAAGGAAACACCCCUUCAGUAACCAGGGACGGCCAUGGAAAAGCCUGAGUCAAAAGAUAAGCGAGUCUGAAUAAAGGUCUAAGAGACCCAUCUCCCAUGAAUCACACCUGCUGCUGGAGAAUCACAGGUUCCCCAAGCGAUGUGAAGAAGAGAACACGCAGUCCUCCCUGGUCUAACGUCUGGAAGGCCCUGAUCUGCUCUGGAUAUGAAGCCAGCUUCACCUGCGAC